GAAAUGCGAUAAGUAAUGUGAAUUGCAGAAUUCAGUGAAUCAUCGAAUCUUUGAACGCACCUUGCGCUCCUUGGUAUUCCUUGGAGCAUGCCUGUUUGAGUAUCAUGAAAUCUUCAAAGUAAAUCUUUUGUUAACUCAAUUGGUUUCUACUUUGGUAUUGGAGGUCUUUGCAGCUUCACACCUGCUCCUCUUUGUUCAUUAGCUGGAUCUCAGUGUUAUGCUUGGUUCCACUCGGCGUGAUAAGUUAUCUAUCGCUGAGGACACUGUAAAAGGUGGCCAAGGUAAAUGCAGAUGAACCGCUUCUAAUAGUCCAUUGACUUGGACAAUACUUUUAUCAUCUGAUCUCACAUCAGGUAGGACUACCCGCUGAACUUAAGC
rnacentral:misc_RNA from 1 species